AUAUAUACUUUAAAUUCAUAAUAAUUAUACAUAAUAAUUUAUAUAUAUAAUUAUAAAGCUAUACCUAUACUAUAUAGCUAUAGACUUAUAAUUAUAGAUUCACUAUAGCUAUAGUGAAACCCAAAUAACUAGCUAGCUAGCUAUAGAUCCACUGCACGUCAUGCAGGAGAAUUUGGAAGAGCUGGAAUUUAUAAGAAGGACAGCUGGUAGAAGAACAGUAUAAACCUGGAACAACAUGAACAAUGUGUUGCAUAUAGACUUUAUAGAGCUGUUAUGGGCCCCUGCAGUCCUUGAAAUAUUCUGAAAUAUUUCGAAAUCUUCUGAAAUCUUCUAAAAUCUUCUGAAAUCUCUAAAAUCAUUGAAAUCUUCCAAAAUCUUCUGAAAUCUCUAAAAUCUUCAAAAUCUCUGAAAUCCGUAAAAUCUUGUAAAAUCUCCCGAAUCUCGAGAUUUUAAAAUCCUGUACACAAAUUUUCAUAGUGUCGGACCCCUCGAUUCCAUUUGCUGGUCGACUGUCUAGCAAAGAAAGAUGCAUAACUUGGAAACAGUGACAGUUUUCUUUAUUAAACUUCUUAGCAAAGUAGUCUACUGUAGGUACUGUGUCAGGAUCUCCUGGUUUCCAACGAAACAGUCAACCAGCCAAGGGCCAGAGCAAGGGAUCACUUCAGAGGUAAGCUUUGUGUGCGUAUAUAGCAAGCAUUAUGUAGCAAGCAUUAUGUAGCUAGUAUAAGCUUUCAUAAGCCUUUGAGCUGAUUUAAUAUGCUUAUGCACUUGCCUAGAUAGCUUAUGAGUGUGUAAAGUAUACUUGUGUAGUAGCUGAGUUAGUUUAGAGCCUGUUUUUAGAGUGUAGUGUACAGUGUUUGAUAUUCAAUUUAUUUGUUUCAAUGUGGCAAAGAAAUGUGGCAAAGAAACAUGCACCCCUUAGUAACAGUAACAGUUCUCUUCAAGCUACUUCUAUCUGAACAGUCUAAGAGUCAACCAGCCAAGGACAGAGCGUGGCUGAGCGAGAGAUUAUUUUAGAACUGUGAGAAUGCUGGACAUCGGAAAGUUUGGGCCAACAGAUUGGUUGAGAUGAUGGUCUGUGAAACACUGCUAUCGGUCUGAGAAACACUGCUAUCGGUCUGAGAAGUCCUUACUACUAUCCAAUCCCCUGUGUACAGAGGCCUCUUUGUUAUUGUUGAGAUUGAUAUUGAAUUUAUAUUGAAUUUAUAUAAAUACAAAUUUCACAAGAAAUUUUAAGCAAAUUUUGAUUGCUAACCUA